CCUACGGGUGGCAGCAGUGGGGAAUAUUGGGCAAUGGGCGCAAGCCUGACCCAGCAACGCCGCGUGAAGGAAGAAGGCCCUCGGGUUGUAAACUUCUUUUAACAGGGACGAAGAAAGUGACGGUACCUGGUGAAUAAGCCACGGCUAACUACGUGCCAGCAGCCGCGGUAAUACGUAGGUGGCAAGCGUUAUCCGGAUUUACUGGGUGUAAAGGGCGUGUAGGCGGGAGAGCAAGUCAGACGUGAAAUUCCAGGGCUCAACCCUGGAACUGCGUUUGAAACUGUUCUUCUUGAGUGCUGGAGAGGCAGGCGGAAGUCCGUGUGUAGCGGUGAAAUGCGUAGAUAUACGGAGGAACACCAGUGGCGAAGGCGGCCUGCUGGACAUUAACUGACGCUGAGGCACGAAAGCGUGGGGAGCAAACAGGAUUAGAUACCCGGGUAGUC
rnacentral:rRNA from 1 species